UCAUACGUAGGACCCAAGCGUUAUCCGGAUUGACUGGGCGUAAAGAGUUGCGUAGGUGGUUUGUUAAGCGAAUAGUGAAAUCUUGUGGCUCAACCAUAAGGCUAUUGUUCGAACUGGCAAACUCGAGAAUGGAAGAGGUAUCUGGAAUUCCCAGUGUAGGAGUGAAAUCCGUAGAUAUUGGGAGGAACACCAAUGGCGUAGGCAGGAUACUGGUCCAUUUCUGACACUAAGGCACGAAAGCGUGGGGAGCGAACGGGAUUAGAUACCCCGGUAGUCCACGCCGUAAACUAUGGAUGCUAGCUGUUAGCCGUAUCGACCCGGUUAGUAGCGAAGCUAACGCGUUAAGCAUCCCGCCUGAGUAGUACGGUCGCAAGACUA
rnacentral:rRNA from 1 species